rnacentral:rRNA from 1 species
AGGUAGCAUAAUCAUUAGUUUUUUAAUUGGAAGCUUGUAUGAAUGAUUGGACAAGAAAAAAACUGUUUCUAUUAUAAAUUUUGAAAUUAACUUUUAAGUUAAAAGGCUUAAAUAGACCAAAGGGACGAUAAGACCCUAUAAAUCUUUAUAUAAGUUUAAUUUUAAUAAAAAUAUAUUGUAAAGUUAAAAUUAUGUUUUAUAUUUAACUGGGGCGGUUUAAGUAUAAUUAUAAAUAAUUAGUUAAUAUGUUAAUACAAUUUUUUUGAAUAAAAAUGAAAGAUCCUUGAUUUUAAAGAAUAUUAGAUUAAGUUACUUUAGGGAUAACAGCGUAAUUUUUUUUGAGAGUUCAUAUUGAAAAAAGAGUUUGCGACCUCGAUGUUUAAUUAAAUUUUCUUAAUAGUGCAGCAGCUAUUAAAGAGGGUCU